rnacentral:rRNA from 1 species
GACGAACGCUGGCGGCGUGCUUAACACAUGCAAGUCGAACGGUGAAGCCCCAGCUUGCUGGAGUGGAUCAGUGGCGAACGGGUGAGUAACACGUGAGCAACCUGCCCCUGACUCUGGAAUAAGCGCUGGACACGGCGUCUAAUACUGGAUACGAGAAGGGUCCGCAUGGGCACUUUCUGGAAAGUUUUUUGGUUGGGGAUGGGCUCGCGGCCUAUCAGCUUGUUGGUGAGGUAAUGGGUGACCAAGGCGACGACAGGUAGCCGGCCUGAGAGGGCGACCGGACACACUGGGACUGAGAUGCGGCCCAGACUCCUACGGGAGGCAGCGGUGGGGAAUAUUGCACUAUGGGCGAGAGCCUGAUGCAGCGACGCCGCGUGGGGGAUGACGGCCUUCGGGUUGUAAACCACUUUCAGCAGGGAAGAAGCGAAAGUGACGGUACCUGCAGAAGAAGCACCGGCUAACUACGUG